rnacentral:rRNA from 1 species
AUGGACUCCAAUCCGCCGUCGCAGCCGCCGCAAGCAGCAGCAGACGCCGGCGAGAAGCCGCAGCAGCCGGCCUUCGAGGCGCCAGCGCCGCAGCCGGUGAGGGAGGAGUACGUGCAGAACGCCGUCAAGUUCCUCUCCCACCCCAAGGUCAGGGGCUCCGCCGUCGUCUACCGCCGCUCCUUCCUCCAGAACAAGGGCCUCACCGCCGACGAGAUCGACGAGGCCUUCCGCCGAGUCCCCGAUCCGCCGCCCACCACCGCGUCCCCUCCGACCCAGGCCCAGGCCCAGGCCCAGGUCCCCGCCGCCGCCGCGCCUCCGCAAGCUUACGCGCAGCCAGCGGCGGGGCCCAUCAUCGUCGCCGCGCCUCAGCCCAGGCUCACCUGGUACCGCGCCUUCGUCGCCGCCGGGCUGCUGCUCGGCUUCGGAGCCAGCGCCGCCGUCUUUGUCAAGAAGCUGCUCCUUCCCAGGCUCAAGUCAUGGAUCCGCAGGGUCGUCGCCGAGGGCGAUGAGGCGACCGAGCUCAAGGCCAAGAUCGACGAGGAGACCAGGGAGGCCGUCAAGGCCUCCGCGACGGCCGUUUCCGCCAUCGCCCAGACCAACCAGGAGCUGCUCGCUUCCAAGGACGAAGAAAAGAAGAUACUUGUGACUUUGACGCAGGCCCUGGAUUCCCAAGCAAAGGUGUUGAAAUCGCUGAGCGAGUCGUUGAGCCAUAAUAGCCGGGACUCCGUAAAUAUUACCAGGGAGGAUAGGUUUUCGCACUACCGCCCACUGGAGGAUCAUGGCCCCUCUGCCGCGAGGAAUGGCCCUGUUAACACUCCAUGGAGACCUCCUCAGCAACCUAAUAUGUAUGGUGCUCCAAACAGUGACUUCGGCUCAGGGAGGCCUUCGUUUGCGCCAGCACCUACUGAACCUACCUCUGGGUCAUAUUCAAGAUCUUAUGUUGAGCAGACGGUACAGCGAGGGGAUAAUAGAUCUUCUGGGACCAAGACGCAGCAGGCAUUGGAGAUGCUGCAACACGCAGAGCAAAAGCUUGCUUAUAGAUCCAACGCCUACUUGAGCGAGGAUGGAUCGUACUCUCAAGCUCAGGACAACUAUGCCCCCUCGUACCACCAGAACGGGAAGGCCCCUGAUUUCCACGCAGAGGAGCCGAGGCCGCUGGCGUACGGCGGCGGUGUUGUGGAAAGGCCGCCGCCUCAGCGCCAGUGGGUCCCCCCUCAGCCUCCAGGUGUCGCCAUGCCGGAAGCGGCGGCCGCCAUCCGUCAACAGAAGUCCCUUACGAAGCAACCGUCUAGCGACACGUCCGAGGCUGCUGGUGAGGUGCAGGUGAACGGCGCCGCGAGCUCGCCUUCCGUCGCUGCCGCUGAGGUGCCGGUUAAUGGGAGUGCCGCAAUCGAUGCUGGACGCAGCGAGAUCGAAGAGCAGCAGGCGGAAGCCGUCUAA